GAGAGAGAGAGAGAGAGAGAGGCGUAAAGAAGCUGGCAUGGUUUUACUUUUCCUCCAAAACCUCUCAGGAGCAAGAGCGAGCGAGCGAGCGAGAGGAGAGAGAGAGAGAGAGAGAGAGUUUUGCGGCGAAUGUUGGGCGAAAUAUUCAAAGGUGAAUCUUAUAGAAGCCCAGACCGGCUAAGUGUCGGAUCAUGAUCCAGGCAAGUUUCCCGGGAAGCAAGCUCCGAUUUCUGCGCCAUAUCCUCUGCAUGCCUAUCAUGGCUGGAAUAUGGAGCGAACAGUUAGCUCUAACGUAUGUUUCCAAUAACUCACCGCUCUCACAGCACAGAAUCGAAUGAUUCCAUAUAUAAUCAUUUAAAUUUUCUCAUUUUUCUUUUUUACUUGCGUACUCUUUUUUUACCGACAUUCGCAUCGAAAGUUACAGUUUUACGUGAGAAUGUUGGCAUUUAUUUUCCUUGGAAGACUAACUUUCAUUAAUUCAUGUUCCCCCUCUGAGGAUCCUACGGGCUUAUCCCCACCCUACGCCAUGCAUGAGAGUAAAGCAACCUAGAAGGUAGGCUGGUGUAAACAAUGGAAGCUAAGGUAGUAGGCGCGGAUCAUUCAUGCAGCGGGAUCCCAUGUUCCCUCGGAUCUCUCGUCCGAUUCUUCUCCGCUCAUCUUUCUCUCCCUUCUCUCUUUCCUUGUUAUUAUCCCUGGCGUUGGGGCUGACUAUGACCGGCGUUCUCAUGACUUCCUUGAGCUACUGGGAUAUGGUGGCGAUAGGAUCUUAAGCAGGGCUCACAUGUACCCAUGUGGGGGAUGAUGCGGCCGCAGGGGUAGACGGCCCCGCCGUUCCCGGAAGUUGCUGCUACGGCCUGCCCGGUUUUGGUGUUGGAUUGACGUCCUCGCUUGAUUAAGCCGUGGAUUGCUGGCUCACGAAUUUAAGUCCUCUCUCUCUCUCUCUCUCUCUCUCUCUCUCUCAUACGCACCCCUCUUCCCUCCCUCCUCCGUUCUUUCAUUUGUUGUCGGCCGG
rnacentral:lncRNA from 1 species